rnacentral:lncRNA from 1 species
AAGAUCAGCAGCCUCGUGAGAAGCUCUGUGGGUGAGGACUCAGCCAUGAAGAAAAAGAACUCUGAGAAAAUUAGUGUUUCCUUAAACUGAUAUAUCAUUAUGGAUUCAUUCGGCUAUUUAGCACCUACCACGUGGCAAGCUUGUCGCUACACUUCAGAGAUCCUAAGAUAAUUUGUGCAUCACUUUGCCUGCUUUAAAGAUGCUCAUAAACUAACAAAGAGGCAUUUGUUCCAGGUGCUGUCAACUCAAGGUGUUCCAGCUACACAUAUAUUAGGAUACUUGGAGUUGUUCCACAGAUCAUUGGUAUUCUUUUCAGUUUUUUUUUUUUUAUUGUUUUAUCUCUUAGUGUUUUAUUUUGAACAGUUUCCAUUGCUCUCUCAUCAGGUUUACUAUUCUUUUCUUCUGCCAUGUCAAACCUGAAGUUUAUCCCCUGUAGUUACUUUUUCAUUUCAGACAUUCUGGUUUUCAUCUUUAAAAAUUUUAUCUGUGUCUUUUUUGUAUUUCUGCUUUUCAGCUUUUUGAAUGUAUAGAAUGUAGUUAUAGUAGCUGUUUGAAAGACCUAGUCUGGUAAUUCUAACAUCUGUGUCAGUUAUGAGUUGGUUUUGAUUGAGUGUUCUUGUCAUUGUGAGUCAUAUUUUUCUUCCUUUUUCCAUACUUGAAGAUUUUUUAUUAGAUGUUGGGAAUUGUGAAUUUUAACUUUCUAGGUGUUGGAUAAUUUUGUAUCUCUGUAGAUAUUCUUAUAUUUUAUUUUUGGAUAUAGUUAAGUUAUUUGGAUCUUUCUUUAAAAUUUGUUGUAUAGUUCUAGAACCAUGUUUAGUUUAUUUUUUAUUUUCCAUUAUAGUUUUUCACAGUGUUCUGUCAAUUUCGAGUGUACAGCAAAGUGACCCGGUAAUUCUCUACUGCUAAGGCAAAACUAUUCUUAGAACUCUCCCACGUCCAUGUGACUUACAGAGUUUUCCACUACAGCUGUUGGGAACAGGCACUUCCUGACUCUGUGUGAGCAACGGAUACCAGUCCACUAACCCUGUUGGUGACUCUUCUCCCAAUCCCAGUUACUUUCAUCACAUAUAUACUUGAUCAAUAUGCUGCUAAACUCAGGAAUUGACCCUGUACGGUUCUCUAGAGUUCUCUUUCUUUGUGACUCUUUCUUCUUUGAACUCCACCUAAAGAACUCCAGCAACCCUGGUAUCCCAAGACACUCAGCUCUAUCUCUUCAACUCAGGGAUUCUGCUGGACUACACAUAGUUUCCCCUCUCUGCUCCAUGACCAGGAGUCUUCCCCAGUGUUGUAAGCUUGGGCAGCCAGAGGCUUCACCUCACUCAUUUCUCACAUCCCAGGGAUUGCAUUCUUCAUUGUUAAUAUCCAAUGUCUUGGAAGUCAGUGCUUCAUAUAGCUUGUGUACUUUGUGCGUGUGUUGUAAGAAGAAAAAUCUAGUCUACAAAAUUCCAGUUUGGCCAGAAGUGGAAGCCUUAGCUUGGUAUUUAAUCCAGUUUGCUUCCAUUUUCCAGUAUCUGUGAGAAAGAGCAAGAGUUAUAAAUACAGACAGGGAACAUAAGAGGGUAGAGGCUAUACAGAAUUAAUAAAGUUGUAAGCCGUCAGUAUAUUUAUGAGGUUAACACAGAUGUGACCUCUUUUCAAAAGUCAACAUUAAAGGCAUUCCUUUUUCAUAUGAAAAAAUUAAAUGUGUAUUGCACAGUACAUGAAGGAGGAACUGAAACUCAGUUUGAGAAAUGACUGAAUUAGUCUCCAUUGCUUCUCAAAUAUCGUAAUUUUUAUCUGCAAGGAGUUUGGAGGCUUGUUGUUUGGAGAAUCUGCCUGUAAAGCUGUUACAUCUCAUUGACAAGCUGAGAAAUUUCUUCUUGGUUUGGUUUAAUUGUAUCUUCUCUUAUUUUGUACAUUGUCAUCAUUUUAAAAGACACUGAUCUGCUCCUGGAUGUAUUUAUCAGAAGGAUUCACUCUGGUAAUUUCCUAAAAGAGAAACAUAUCUAUCUGAUAGACUUUUCAAGUACAGUUACUCAAUUUGGAAUUCAGUGGAGUAGAUCCAAUAGCUCCCAUCAAUAGUAGGAAUCAUCUUUCAGAGCAGUGGCACUCUGUAUUUGACAUGCAACAGUUCUGUGUGCUGAAUUAAUUCCAGGGACUUGAAUACAUACUUCGUGAACAUGUAGAAACAUUUUUGGUUCUAAAAAUAAUCAUGGUAUCUUUCAUUUGCAUGUGGUGUUAUAAAUUUGAAAACGUAAGUCCACAUUCCUAAAGGCCAGGGAAACAAAAAAAAAAUAUAUAUAGAAAAAUUAAAUGCUGAACUGUAUGGAAAUUAUUAUAUGAACAGUAAGAAAUUAGGAGGAAAAUCUGUAUCAUCUAGAGUGGUUCAGGGAAACUAUGUGGGAGACCAAAAUUGCUUAGUAGAUAAAGGUGAGGAGAGACGUUCUUACAAAUGAUGAAAAACAGCAUGAGCAAAGGCAAGGGGUUGGAAAUAAGAGCAGAAUACAUGAAAGGAAGUGAGCUGUUAAAGAAUGCUUUUGGGAAGGGCUGGGAAAUAAAGUACUCUCAGAUGAUGAAUGGCCUGCAAAGCCAAACAGAAAAAUUUGUAACUAAAGCCAAAAAUAACAGGAAGCCACUGUAGAUUUUUGAGCAAAUGACAACUAUAAGUACAGCUUUAUGGAUAUGCUGGCAGUGACAUGCAAGGUGGAUGACAGAGAGGAUAAAGUGAGAAGGACCAGCUUGACUCUACUGGUGUCCUUCAAGUUAGGAGGACUAUGUCAAGGAUAUGAGAAAAAAAAUAUAAGAGACAAAAAGGAUCAGUUAAUAUUCUGAAGGAUGAAAUAAGGAGGCUUGAACUGUCCCACCUUUCACUGUUCUCUGUCUCCCCAGUGGGAGAUUUCAGAAGCAGGGAUGAGGAGUGAAAGACAGAGGUGUGUAUCUGCCCCAUUCUCUCAUGUCACCUUAUGUAGAUGCUCACUCAGCUUCUCAGUCUCCUUGGAUGCUGUCUCUAUGGUGAACUGACCUUCCCCAAGAAGGGAUAGAGCAUAGCGUGGUGCUUACAUGCAUGAAGAUUAGACCAUUGCUACUUUUUUCCCUUCUGAAAAUUGAAUGAACAUUUUAAAAGUCAAAAUUGAGAAACUAGAAACAAUCAUGACAAAAUGAAGGAGAAAGAAUUUCCAGAAAGUAAAAGAAAGCAAUGGGGAGUCAGAAGGGAAAUAAAAUGGAAAAGAGAAAAGAGAGAGGGGCAAAGCUGACUGCCAGCUCCUGAGGGUUUGAAUCUUCUGGGCUAAGAUUUAGUUCCCAUGUCUGAUCUUCCUGAAAAAAGAAAAAAAAAAAGGUAGAAUUCUAGAAUUUAGCAACUUUCCCCCUCCUUUUGAUCCUUAGAAAACUGAUUCUGCAGAAGCGAAGUCGCUUUCUCAAAACUAAAUGGCUCAUAAUUGAAGACAGGGCAAGAACAUACAUGUGCAACUCCUGCUUCAGGUCUCUAUUCCAUCACACACUUCCUUUCCUAGAAAGGACUCAGAGAGUUAUUGCACAUUGUGUUAGGGCUAACUACUUUAGACAACUACUAAGAAGUUGGUAACUCAAUUAGGCUGUCUUCGUCCAUCUUUCUUCCAAAUGUAAAGGAUGCAGUAAUAUAAAUUACAAAAGAAAAGGUGCCAUAAUGAGGGAGACAAAUUUAAAGACAUAGAAGAAUGAAAAAUGAAAACUGAAAGAAAAGUGUUCCCAAAACAAUCUUGAAGAAGAACAAAGUUGGAGCUCUCACACUUCCUGGUUUCAAAACUUAUUACAAAGCUAUACUGUAAUACUGGCAUAAAGACAGACA